CAGUAGCCGCGGUAAUACAGAGGGUGCAAGCGUUAUCCGGAAUGAUUGGGCGUAAAGCGUCUGUAGGUGGCUUUUCAAGUCCGCCGUCAAAUCCCAGGGCUCAACCCUGGACAGGCGGUGGAAACUACCAAGCUAGAGUACGGUAGGGGCAGAGGGAAUUUCCGGUGGAGCGGUGAAAUGCGUUGAGAUCGAAAAGAACACCAACGACGAAAGCACUCUGCUGGGUCGACACUGACACUGAGAGACGAAAGCUAGGGGAGCAAAUGGGAUUAGAUACCCCUGUAGUCCCUGUCUCUUAUAC
rnacentral:rRNA from 1 species